GUUUAUUCAACUCUGUGUAAACUUACCCAGCCGUUUCCAUGCAGCAUGCUCAAAAGUCUCCAAGGAGGCCUCUGGACAGUCCAGGGAGGUGUGGCAUGGUGUCAGGGGACACAAUUGGAGAUGUGGUGGACUGCAGCAGCUUCUGGAGUGCCUGUUAGCUCCUGGCUGCUCCUGCACGAGGGCUUCAAAGCACAACUGCAGCUCAUUGCACAGAUCAAGAAGCACUUGGUGGAUUCGAUGGGUGGUGAAGGACUUUAUGAUCUUGCUGAGUGGGGAGGCUUCCAUGGUGGCAUCUGAGUCUUCCAGCAUCGAGGGUUUCGACACCACUGUAGAACCCCAGUAUGAGUAAAAAUUUUAGCAGAACUCUUGGAUCACUAACUAGGUUCACACACUAUGGCAUGACUGCAUGUGUGUUUGUGCGUGCACACUGCAGGCUUUGUCAAACCAACAUACUAGUAAGUUGAUUGAAAGAAAAGAAUGUUGGCAUUGUUGGAUAACAGUCAUGACAAAUUAUGCAGGCAAUCAGUGUGUUGCUUCCAUACACUAAAUUAAAAUAAUAGAAAUCAGGUGAAAAUAGUUUUGCAUUGCUUGAUAUCUUACUGGGGUGGCCAGAGUGGUGGCCAUGCUUCAUGAUAGGUUGACACCCCUUAGCUACACACCUGAUCCUAUGGUGUCUCACAGCCACAUUCAGCUCUAAUGCAAGUUUAUAGUCAAAACACAUCUGCUCUAAGAAAACAUUUUUGAUUGUUACAGUUGUUAUGGCAAAACCUAACUACACAAACAAUACUGGUUUUUCACAAAUCCAUAGCUAUUAACAUUAAUGAGACGUUGUAUGGCAGUGUCGAUAGAUGCUGUGAUGAAUACAAGCUAGCCAACUAAAAUAACUCUUAACUGACACCGAGUGCUUUGUGUGAGACCCCAACCCAUGUCCCUAACCUGAUCCACAACGUCCAUGUGCAACAUUUUUGCGCGUGCAUACAUUUGAUUCUGAUUACAUUUGAUUUGAAAUGCACUUGUAUGGAAUUUCACAACAUUAGUAUACGUUUCAAUUUCAAAACAAAUACCAUAAUUUUGCAUGUCAGAAUGUAUUAGAAAGAUGAAAGUUGCAAAAAAUAUCUUGCAGAGGGAGAGUUUGUCCCAUAAUGCUGUAACAAGAGUAUAUGGAGAGACACCUGAUACCUGUCUGUGCUUGUCACUGUAUAUUAACAAGCUUGCGUUAAUAUUAUGGUGCGCUCCUUGUGUUAUAAAAUUCUUGCAAAUUUUA